CCACUGGAAUUUGCAGUCAUAUAACCUUAUAUAAGACAUUAUUCUUGGAGAAGAUAAUGUUCAAGGGAUUUAUCCAUUACCUAAGUAUAUUAAAAUCAUAAAACGAGCAUGCUACCUCGUAUAACACAUCACAUAUGCGAGAUCUUUUAACUUGAUUCCUGCAGCAAUGGAAACUAGAACUUUCUCUUCCGAGAAAAAAGGCUUCAGCUCCAAAAGUACCUUUUUAACUGUAUAUAUUAACUUGUCAAAACAUGCAAUAGGGAUCUUCCAAGUUGGCAAUUUAUGAGAAAUAAGUAUAACAUACCUCAAGCCAGUUACAGCAUCAAAAUAUUUUUCAUCAGCUGUCCAUACCUUCCCA
rnacentral:lncRNA from 1 species